rnacentral:rRNA from 1 species
UACGUAGGGUGCGAGCGUUAAUCGGAAUUACUGGGCGUAAAGCGUGCGCAGGCGGUUCGUCGUGUCUGAUGUGAAAGCCCCGGGCUCAACCUGGGAAUGGCAUUGGAAACUGGCGGACUAGAGUGUGGCAGAGGGGGGUGGAAUUCCGCGUGUAGCAGUGAAAUGCGUAGAGAUGCGGAGGAACACCGAUGGCGAAGGCAGCCCCUGGGCUAACACUGACGCUCAGGCACGAAAGCGUGGGGAGCAAACAGG